rnacentral:rRNA from 1 species
UUACUGAGUGAGGGUUCCUUCGGGGCCCAACCUCCCACCCUUGUAUACUGUACCAAGUUGCUUCGGCGGGCCCGCCGUUCGCGCGGCCGCCGGGGGGGAACCCCUCCCCCCGGGCGAGCGCCCGCCGGAGACCCCAACGUGAACACUGUCUGAAGUUUUGUCGUCUGAGUUCGAUUGUAUCGCAAUCAGUUAAAACUUUCAACAAUGGAUCUCUUGGUUCCGGCAUCGAUGAAGAACGCAGCGAAAUGCGAUAAUUAAUGUGAAUUGCAGAAUUCAGUGAAUCAUCGAGUCUUUGAACGCACAUUGCACCCCCUGGUAUUCCGGGGGGUAUGCCUGUCCGAGCGUCAUUGCUGCCCUCAAGCCCGGCUUGUGUGUUGGGUCCUCGUCCCCCCCGGGGGACGGGCCCGAAAGGCAGCGGCGGCACCGCGUCCGGUCCUCGAGCGUAUGGGGCUUUGUCACACCGCUCUCGUAGGCCCGGCCGGCGCUGGCCGACGCUGAAAAGCAACCAUUAUUUCUCCAGGUUGACCUCGGAUCAGGUAGGGAUACCCGCUGAACUUAAGCAUAUCAA